AUGAACCACCAGCCAGAAAACAUGGAGAAUGCUCUCACCGGGAGCCAGAGCUCCCAUGCUUCUCUGUGAGACAUCCAUUCCAUCAACCCCACACAACUCAUGGCCAGGAUUGAGUCUUAUGAAGGAAGGGAAAAGAAAGGCAUAUCUGAUGUCAGGAGGACUUUCUGUUUGUUUGUCACCUUUGACCUCUUAUUUGUAACAUUACUGUGGAUAAUAGAAUCAAAUGUCAAUGGAGGCAUUGAGAAAACAUUAGAGAAAAAGGUGAUGCAGUAUGACUACUAUUCUUCAUAUUUUGAUAUAUUUCUUUUGGCUGUUUUUUGAUUUAAAAUAUUAAUACUUGCAUACGCUGUGUGCAGGCUGCCCAUUGGUGGGCAAUAGCAUUGACAACGGCAGUGACCAGUGCCUUUUUACUAGCAAAAGUGAUCCUUUCAAAGCUUUUCUCUCAAGGGGCUUUUGGCUAUGUGCUGCCCAUCAUUUCAUUCAUCCUUGCUUGGAUCGAGAUGUGUGGUUCCUGGAUUUCAAAGUGUUACCUCAAGGAGCAGAAGAAAACAGACUCCUGAUAGUUCAGGAUGCUUCAGAGAGGGAAGCACUUAUACCUGGUGGUCUUUCUGAUGGUCUCCACCGCGCCCGGCUUUAUUCCCUUUCUGAAUCUGAAGCAGGAUCUGAUGAAGCUGAAGAAAAACUGGACAGUGAGAAACCACUUUUAGAACUAUGAGUACUACUUUUGUUAAAUGUGAAAAACCCUCACAGAAAGUCAUCGGAGGCAAAAAGAGGCUAGCAAUGGAGUCUCCCUGUUGACAAUAAAAUGGUAAUGUCCACUGCUGACUUUAUUGAACAGCUAAUAAAGAUUUAUUUAUUGUAAUACCUCGCAGACAUUGUACCAUAUCCAUGCACAUUUAGUCGCCUGCCUAUGGCCGGCAAGGUAAUGUCAUGGUUCCUCCUCUCUGCAGUGAGACUGGGUCUGAUGUGU